rnacentral:rRNA from 1 species
CCUACGGGAGGCAGCAGUGAGGAAUAUUGGUCAAUGGACGAGAGUCUGAACCAGCCAAGUAGCGUGAAGGAUGACUGCCCUAUGGGUUGUAAACUUCUUUUAUAUGGGAAUAAAAUGUUCCACGUGUGGGCUUUUGUAUGUACCAUAUGAAUAAGGAUCGGCUAACUCCGUGCCAGCAGCCGCGGUAAUACGGAGGAUCCGAGCGUUAUCCGGAUUUAUUGGGUUUAAAGGGAGCGUAGGUGGAUUGUUAAGUCAGUUGUGAAAGUUUGGGGCUCAACCGUAAAAUUGCAGUUGAAACUGGCAGUCUUGAGUACAGUAGAGGUGGGCGGAAUUCGUGGUGUAGCGGUGAAAUGCUUAGAUAUCACGAAGAACUCCGAUUGCGAAGGCAGCUCACUGGACUGCAACUGACACUGAGGCUCGAAAGUGUGGGUAUCAAACAGGAUUAGAUACCCUUGUAGUC